AAGUCAUAGUGAUGACACUUCGUCGAUAACUCAUUGUAUUGCUCCCAUGGCUCAUAAAGUAACUCUCCAUGAUAUUGAACAAAAGUAGUAAUAUCAUUCCUUAAAUGU